rnacentral:rRNA from 1 species
AUUGAACGCUGGCGGCAGGCCUAACACAUGCAAGUCGAGCGGAGCGGCGGACGGGUGAGUAAUGCCUAGGAAUCUGCCUGGUAGUGGGGGAUAACGUCCGGAAACGGGCGCUAAUACCGCAUACUAUCAGAUGAGCCUAGGUCGGAUUAGCUAGUUGGUGGGGGAAAGGCCUACCAAGGCGACGAGCCGUAACUGGUCUGAGAGGAUGAUCAGUCACACUGGAACGUGAACACGGUCCAGACUCCUACGGGAGGCAGCAGUGGGGAAUAUUGGACAAUGGGCGAAAGCCUGAUCCAGCCAUGCCGCGGGUGUGAAGAAGGUCUUCGGAUUGGAAAGCACUUUAAGUUGUGAGGCGUUACCAACAGAAUAAGCACCGGCUAACUUCGUGCCAGCCGCCGCGGUAAUUC